rnacentral:rRNA from 1 species
GACGAACGCUGGCGGCGUGCUUAACACAUGCAAGUCGAACGGAAAGGCCCUGCUUUUGUGGGGUGCUCGAGUGGCGAACGGGUGAGUAACACGUGAGUAACCUGCCCUUGACUUUGGGAUAACUUCAGGAAACUGGGGCUAAUACCGGAUAGGAGCUCCUGCUGCAUGGUGGGGGUUGGAAAGUUUCGGCGGUUGGGGAUGGACUCGCGGCUUAUCAGCUUGUUGGUGGGGUAGUGGCUUACCAAGGCUUUGACGGGUAGCCGGCCUGAGAGCGUGACCGGGGACAUUGGUACUGCGGUAGGGAGCAGACUGGUAUGGGAGGCAGUAGUGGCAAGCCUGGCACAGUGAGCCGGAGUGUGAGGCAGAAACGCUGGGUGUGUGAUGACGGCUUUUGGGGUGAGAACAGCUUCAGCCUGAGACGCCGCGGGAGUGACGGUACUGGGUAAAGAAGCACCGGCUAACUACGUG